AGGGUUUUCUACAUCCAAUCCCUUAUCCUCCGCCUCUUCAUCCCUAAAACACCUGCAAAAUAUUGUCCCUCCCUUUUCUGAAUCAAUGUUUCAUCAAGUAUCUAUCAUGGAUCAUUAAUACCUUGCCAUGGAGAUGCAUUGUUGCUACUCAUUUCAACUUUUAGAACUGUGAUCUAUGGUGGAUGGGAAGAAUCUCAUGUUUUUGUGUAGUAUUGAGGGUUCUAGGUCCCUGAAAAGUGUUCCAGAUCCAAUUACAGACGAUAAGAAGAUAAUGGGAUGCUCAGAACUGCAAGUAAUUAGACUGUAAUGCUCUUCUCAGGUGUAAGAAUUUCCAAAAUCUCACAAGACCCUCCCCUUUUGUUGCGACUCCUUUUUUAUGGAUGAUAUAGUAUAGGCUAGCAAGCUUUUUCACUUUUUUUUGUUACCCGUAGGGUUGUAAAUAGUUAUAUGUGAAUUGUGAACUCUGUAACCUAUAGCCUUUUCAGCCUUGUCAUUCUCUUGUUGCUGUAAGUCUUAUGUAAAGACAUUGAAGUUUAUCACUGUUAAAGAUUUUUCUACCUAUA